UAACACGUAGGAGGCGAGCGUUAUUCGGAUUUACUGGGCGUAAAGCGCGUGUAGGCGGCUGAUCAAGUUGGAUGUGAAAGCUCCCGGCUUAACUGGGAGAGGACGUUCAAAACUGAACAGCUUGAGUAUGAGAGAGGAAAAUGGAAUUCCGGGUGUAGUGGUGAAAUGCGUAGAUAUCCGGAGGAACACCAGUGGCGAAGGCGAUUUUCUGGCUCAAGACUGACGCUCAGACGCGAAAGCUAGGGUAGCAAACGGG
rnacentral:rRNA from 1 species